CAACAAUAUUAAAUCAGGCAACGCUAGCAAAGUUACAAUACAAUACAAUACAACAAUAUUAAAUCAGGCAACGCUAGCAAAGUUACAAUACAAUACAACAAUAUUAAAUCAGGCAACGCUAGCAAAGUUACAAUACAAUACAAUACAACAAUAUUAAAUCAGGCAACGCUAGCAAAGUUACAAUACAAUACAAUACAACAAUAUUAAAUCAGGCAACGCUAGCAAAGUUACAAUACAAUACAACAAUAUUAAAUCAGGCCAUGCUAGCAAAGUUACAAUACAAUACAAUACAACAAUAUUAAAUCAGGCAACGCUAGCAAAGUUACAAUACAAUACAAUACAACAAUAUUAAAUCAGGCAACGCUAGCAAAGUUACAAUACAAUACAAUACAACAAUAUUAAAUCAGGCAACGCUAGCAAAGUUACAAUACAGUACAACUUUAUUGUCCAAUAUUGACAGUACCGUCACUGCCAAUCUUAUCUCAACAGAAAUCAUCAGAUGUCUGUCACAUUAAAUAACUAUUUGACGAUGUGCACAAGCAGACACUAUUGCGUACACAAAAACACACACACACCCACACACACGCAACCAGGAUCUGUUAUGGACAACGACAUGGAAACAGACUUCUCAGGGCUUCUCUGUAAGGACCAAACCCUAGCAUGUUUGCUAGAAACAGGCAAUAUUUAUGUGUGUGUAUUUUUGACUCAGUCAAUUGGAUCUGUCCAGUGAACCCCUAUCUCUGUGUACAUAGAAGAGAUAUGACUAGUCUACAAAUGGCCUGGAUGCCAGUCUGUUACCCUUUUCACACUAUCAUGACAACCUAACCCAAACUGUACUGACUUCACAUUGUCCUUCAGUCCAUGGUUCCAACAACUAUGGUGAGUGCAUAACUAGGCCAGCUCUGUACAGCUCAGUUUGGCUUGGCUUGGCUCGCUAGUGUGAAAAGACUAAACCUGUCUCAGACCAGAUUUGGCCUGCAGCAUUGUCACUGCUCUGCCAUGCCUGACCUGUGCUGCUGGCAUCCAAGAAACCAACUGCCUUCUCAUCUAAAAGCCAUUAUAUCAUCAUGUCUUUGUAAGGUUGUAUGAUAUUCUCUCUCAGCGUUUUGUGUUCUCAUAUUUCAUUUCUUCUCAAUCGUCUUUGUUGCCAAAAUGUCUCAGUCAAUAUGUAACCAGCUGGUCAUAGUGCAGCUGGCUGGCUACAUACAGUACAGAGGUUUGUAUGCAGUCUCUCUGUGAAGCAAUAUGAACAGGAAUGCGACAGCCUCCCAGCAGUAGAGAGAGAGUGACCUACUGUGCAGUACUCUCUGAAUGUGGGCCUCCUGACCUGAUUUGAGUGUGUGUUAAUGCUUUAACAUGUCUCCUCUGCCAUUGGGUGAAUGUUCUCUGUAUGGUGCUGUGAUGUCAUACGGUGCCGAGCGGAGCAGAGAAGCGAGGUUUGAUGACCUCAUCACCGCUCCUCUCUGUCUGCCCUGUCAGGCAUUCAUGAUGCAAACACAACGCUGAGGUCAUGUGACACAACAUGGUUCUGAUGCAGGUCUUAUUUUCUGUACAACACAGCCAAGGUAUUGUCCAAUUUUCUGUUCAUACCAACUCAUACAAAGAAAAAGCCAUAUAAAUAAAUUACUUUUGUGAGAUUAA
ensembl:lncRNA